CUCCUGCCUCAGCCUCCUGAGCCACUGGGAUUACAGGGCCUUAGGUGUCCUGGGACCGAAGAAGGCCCCAGAAUGUGGAGUGACAGCCCUGGGCAAAUCUGGAUAGCUGGCCACUCUCAGAGUCCCCAGAUUGGACUUCCUUCAAUCUUCUUAAACCAUCAUGAAAAAACAGGGCCUUAGGUGUCCUGGGACUGAAGAAGGCCACUUCCACUUUCCUUUCUUCCUCCCCUGUUCUCCUCGCUCCACUCCGCUGGUCUUCCUGAACACCUCCAUUAUUAAGGAGAACUCCAAGAGGACAUGAAUGAACACUCAGAUGAAGAGAGGCACAGAGGAAGCAUGUCCUCUCCGGACAUGCCACCUUCUAGGAUCAUUCGUGUGUUCAGCAACCUGGAAGCUCUCUGGACCCUGUUAUUUUGAGUUUUUAUGGAGGUUUAUUACAUAUUCAUGAUUGAUGAAACCACUGGCUAUUUCUGAUCCACUCAGCCUUCAGCCCUUCUCCCUCCCUAGAGAUGGGGGUGAGCAGAGCUGAAAGUCCCAACCCUCUAAUCUGCAAGGUUAAUUCCCUGGCAACCUGUCCCAUCUAGAGGCUCCCCAGGAGCUCCCAGCAUCAGUCAUUUCAUUAGCAAAAGACACUUAUCAUUUUGAAGAUUCCAAGGGAUUUAGGAGCAUCUUGCCAAGAAAGAGGGACAAAGACCAAAUAUAUAUUCCUUACUAUAAAUCACAGUAUCUCAAGGAGUGUGAGGCAUAGAAACGGCUGUCCUGUAAGCCUGUCUCCAAGGACCAUCUGAAUCAUAUUAUACAUUGAUUUGUUCUUUGCUUUAGAAACAGUUUCUGUUCUGCUGCGACCCCAUUAAAAAUAUUUAUUAAACCAUGCCAGUCUAAUCUAUGUGCUUAGUUUUUGGAAAUCCCAAGUCCAGCAAUAAAAGAAUGUCAUUUGA